rnacentral:rRNA from 1 species
GUAAGGAAUAUUGCGCAAUGGACGAAAGUCUGACGCAGCGACGCCGCGUGGGGGAUGAAGGUCUUCGGAUUGUAAACCCCUUUCGGCAGGGAAGAUGGAACGGGUAACCGUUCGGACGGUACCUGCAGAAGCAGCCACGGCUAACUUCGUGCCAGCAGCCGCGGUAAUACGAAGGUGGCAAGCGUUGUUCGGAUUCACUGGGCGUACAGGGAGCGUAGGCGGUUGAGUAAGCCCUCCGUGAAAUCUCCGGGCCUAACCCGGAAAGUGCAGAGGGGACUGCUCGGCUAGAGGAUGGGAGAGGAGCGCGGAAUUCCCGGUGUAGCGGUGAAAUGCGUAGAGAUCGGGAGGAAGGCCGGUGGCGAAGGCGGCGCUCUGGAACAUUUCUGACGCUGAGGCUCGAAAGCGUGGGGAGCAAACAGGAUUAGAAACCCCUGUAGUCC